CGCAUGUGCUGUGAGCUCGAUGAGUAGGGCGGGACACGUGGUAUCCUGUCUGAAUAUGGGGGGACCAUCCUCCAAGGCUAAAUACUCCUGACUGACCGAUAGUGAACCAGUACCGUGAGGGAAAGGCGAAAAGAACCCCGGCGAGGGGAGUGAAAAAGAACCUGAAACCGUGUACGUACAAGCAGUGGGAGCACAGGUUUACCUGUGUGACUGCGUACCUUUUGUAUAAUGGGUCAGCGACUUAUAUUCUGUAGCAAGGUUAACCGAAUAGGGGAGCCGGAGGGAAACCGAGUCUUAAUUGGGCGUUAAGUUGCAGGGUAUAGACCCGAAACCCGGUGAUCUAGCCAUGGGCAGGUUGAAGGUUGGGUAACACUAACUGGAGGACCGAACCGACUAAUGUUGAAAAAUUAGCGGAUGACCUGUGGCUGGGGGUGAAAGGCCAAUCAAACCGGGAGAUAGCUGGUUCUCCCCGAAAGCUAUUUAGGUAGCGCCUCGUGAAUUCAUCUCCGGGGGUAGAGCACUGUUUCGGCUAGGGGGCCAUCCCGGCUUACCAACCCGAUGCAAACUGCGAAUACCGGAGAAUGUUAUCACGGGAGACACACGGCGGGUGCUAACGUCCGUCGUGAAGAGGGAAACAACCCAGACCGCCAGCUAAGGUCCCAAAGUCAUGGUUAAGUGGGAAACGAUGUGGGAAGGCCCAGACAGCCAGGAUGUUGGCUUAGAAGCAGCCAUCAUUUAAAGAAAGCGUAAUAGCUCACUGGUCGAGUCGGCCUGCGCGGAAGAUGUAACGGGGCUAAACCAUG
rnacentral:rRNA from 1 species